GAUGAACGCUGGCGGCGUGCCUAAUACAUGCAAGUCGAGCGAACGGACGAGAAGCUUGCUUCUCUGAUGUUAGCGGCGGACGGGUGUGUAACACGUGGAUCACCUACCUAUAUGACUGGGAUAUCUUCGGGACACCGGCGAUAAUACCGGAGAAGCUUCUGCACCGCAUGGUUCAUAGGAGAAAGACGGUCUUGCUGUCUCUAAUCGAUGCAUACGCGCUGCAUUAGCUAGUUGGUAAGGUAACGGCUUACGAAGGGAACGAUGCAUAUCCGACUUGAUAGGGUGAUCGGCCACACUAGAACUGAGACACGGUCCAGACUCCUACGGGAGGCAGCAGUAUGGAAUCUGCCGCAGUAGUCGAAAGCCUGACGGAGCGACGGCGCGUGAGUGAUGAAGGUCUUCGGAUCGGAAAACUCUGUUAUUAGUGAAGAACAGAUGUGGAAGUAACUGUGCACAUCUUGACGGUACCUGGUCAGAAAGCCACGGCUAACUACGUG
rnacentral:rRNA from 1 species